CGGGCGAGGCGCCGGUCUAAGUCCCUUGGAACGGGGCGUCAGAGAGGGUGAGAAUCCCGUACGCGACCGGUGACCGAGUCCAUGUGAAACCCCUUCGACGAGUCGAGUUGUUUGGGAAUGCAGCUCAAAAUGGGUGGUAAAUUCCAUCUAAAGCUAAAUACCGGCCAGAGACCGAUAGCGCACAAGUAGAGUGAUCGAAAGAUGAAAAGCACUUUGGAAAGAGAGUCAAAAAGUACGUGAAAUUGUUGAAAGGGAAGCGCUUGCAACCAGACCUGCCCGCGGGGGAUCAACCGUCCUUUUGGGCGGCGUACUCGCCCGCGAUCAGGCCAGCAUCGGUCCGGGCGGUCGGAUAAAGGCCUUGGGAACGUAGCUCCCUUCGGGGAGUGUUAUAGCCCUUGGUGCAAUGCGGCCAGCCCGGACCGAGGACCGCGCUUCGGCUAGGAUGCUGGCGUAAUGGUUGUCAGCGGCCCGUCUUGAAACACGGACCAAGGAGUCUAACAUCUAUGCGAGUGUUUGGGUGUCAAACCCAUGCGCGUAAUGAAAGUGAACGGAGGUGGAAACCCUUUCGCGGGGCGCACCAUCGACCGAUCCAGAUGUCUUCGGAUGGAUUUGAGUACGAGCAUAGCUGUUGGGACCCGAAAGAUGGUGAACUAUGCCUAAAUAGGGUGAAGCCAGAGGAAACUCUGGUGGAGGCUCGCAGCGGUUCUGACGUGCAAAUCGAUCGUCAAAUUCGGGCAUAGGGGCGAAAGACUAAUCGAACCAUC
rnacentral:rRNA from 1 species